CCAUGUUUCUCUUGAACACCCAUCUCCAACUCCUAUCUCAAGAGCUAGGACUUGGACCUUGUUCCUCCAUCACCGGAACGUGCUCAUUAUUGAUUGUGCAGGGCUUUCCGUGACCUCCCCCAAGCUUCCACUCCAGCAUCACCUUCUCGGAGACGCCUGGGCGUGAUGUAAUCUACAAUAGAAGCCCUCACGCCUACUGUGACUUUUUUUCCUUGUGCUUUUCUCGUCUGCAGUGUGGGAGCUGGACACCUGCUCAUUUCCUUCUCUGCCCUGUGAGAUCAAGGGUGAAACUUGCUCAGAAGAGGAAUGAUUCAUAGUUGUUUGGCAGGAAACAGAGAGCUCAGGUAGAUAACUUGGAGGACCAGGAAGCUGAAGCAGCAACGAUGAGGGUGUCUGCGUCUGAAGCCAUGAUUUAACUGUUAAGGUGAGUCUUUGUGGCGGAAACACGCAUUUUGGAAAUAGCACACACAGGGCUGGCUUCUUUUCUGUGAACAGAUGGAGGCACACAGUGAAGGGUGGUCCCGAGAAGUGUAAGCCACUCCUGGGGUAAGCAUGUGUCUCCAACUUACAGGGGCACGGAGUUCCCAGCAUUCCUGUGUCCUGCUGUCCCAGCUGGGACUGCCAGGAAAGGGAAGUCAAAGGACUUCUCAGUGGUUCUUUCUGAGCUGAGCUGUGGUCCUCAAAAAGCUUUGACUGCCUCUAACUUAAAGAUUUAGGUUUUAAGAUAAACGCAUAGUAUAGCCCAGGCUGGCUCCAAACUCAUGAUCCUCCUGCCUCACUCAGUGUCUUGACAUUCCAACAAGCUCAUCCUACUUUAGACAUUUUAUACGAGAGCAGAGCCAGUGCAGAACGGGAGGCAGAGCCGUACUUCUGGG
ensembl:lncRNA